ensembl:lncRNA
CCCCCCCACUCCAUUAAGAACUUAGGGGAGAUUAUUGUACUUUGACAAAGGUGUUUCAUAAUCUCCUUAGAGGCCUGGCUCUGUCUGAAGCCACUCCCAGGGGUGACGUGUCCCCCCCACCUCCAGGCUCUCCUGCCUCAGCCUUGAUUGACAGGGAGCCCUUGUACACAGAGUUGGUGCUGCUGGGCACAGCUUCAGGCUCUGGGGCAGCAGCAAUGUGGUCAGCAAAUGAUCACGUCAUUGCCUACUGAUUAGGAGACAAAGUUGGGUAAAACUGGGUUGAGCUCUGCUCCUUCACAGGCCAACUCUGAGUCUUGGGCCAGCUGCCUCUCUCAGCCUCAGGCUCCUCUUCUGUGAGAUGGAAACAACAAUGCCCACCCUGUUGGCAAGCUUGCACAGUGCCUGCUAGCACUGAGUAUUACUGCUGCCGUGGUUAUUAUGAGAGCAGCACCUUUCUAUAAAAUGGCAAUGAGCUCCAUGCUGAAUACUGAACCCAUGUGGGGAACAGACAUGUUUGUGAGGGACUUGGGGACACCCAGCCCCAACUGCUUGGGGUCUGACUCGAACACAUGUUCCCCUGGCCCAGGGGUUGGAGCAACAGAGGUGAUGUACAUGAAAGGGCAUCAGGAGCCUGGCCCACUGUAGCGAUGCAGGACGAGAUCACGGUUAUGUGAUGGUUAUUCUUCCCAUCCCACCCACUUCCUAGCAUCUGAGGGAGGCUGGCCCACGGUCGCUCUGCACCGUGUGGAUGGGUUAGGCUCCGCAGAGGCAGCGUUUCAGAAGCAUUGCCAAAGCUCUCUGAAUGGGAAGAUCCAUCCCAGAUGGCUGAUGUCAUGGGUGAGUGCUGAUGGGAGCUAAUAGGCCAUGAUGCUCUAUGUUGCCUCUUGGGGGACAUAUCCAGUGUAGGGACAUCCCAGGAGCUGGGUCCUUAUUUGCCCCUCACAUCAUGUUGCCAGGCAGGGGGUAAUUGCUCCCAGGGCUGGGCACUGAGUUUGCAUCUCCUCUCCAUGUAAGAGCAUCUUUGUGUGAUCCCAUAGCUUGGAGAUGCAUGGCUCCCUCCAUCCUGCCUCCCUUCACCAUGCUCCUAUGUCCUGAGUCAUGUACAGAUGCUUUCCUACAGUUAUGGAGAAAGGGCUGACAGGUGUGCUGGUCAGAGGAGCAUGCGGAGCAUCUGCCAGAUGGGGUCGAAGAGAAGCUGGACUUGAUCUGUCUCUGCCCCCCUCUCCCGCCUUGUCUCUAUGGAAGCUCCUUUUGCCCCAACACUCUGGUUUCACUGAGUUUCCAGGAGCUCCCCACACUGCCCCACACAUGCUGUUGCUCCAUGUAUCAGUGCCUUUCCUCACUCUGUCCCCUGUGCCCCAAACACUGCUUUGUUUCAGUCUCCUUCACAAAUACACACUCAGCUUACAUGAUGGGCAUCUCAGAGACCCCUUCCUGAGCCUCCUCUAUUAGGUGAGGUUGACCACUGUCACCUGCUGAGCCCCCCACCCCGGGUUCCUACCAGCCUUAUCUAUAGAAUGGGUUGUCGUCUGCAAUAUCUUACUGCUGUAACCUGUUUACAAAUGUGUCUCCUUUUCCUUCUAUUCCUCCCAAACAGAGCUACGAGACAGCAGAAGCCUUGCCUCACAUAUCCUGUCUCCCCAGAUGUUAGCCCUGUGCCUGGGACCUAGGCACUUCCCAAAUGCUCACACACUGAUGAGCAGAUAAAAGAAACGUAUUAAGGCUGAGUGCUGCCGAGCCAUACACCCUGUUUUAUAUACACUCUGUCUUAUAUUCACCAACCCUCCUCUAUCCCAUUAUUCUGUCUCACUUGUGCUUGCUGAGAUAGAGGAGGAGGUGACCCCCUGAGAGGGGCCCUGGACAUGGAGAAGAAAGCUCUGUGGGAGCACACUGUGUCCUUUCCAUCUUGUCCAUGGUUGGCUUUGCAACAGGGUAGAUGCUCUUCCGUCUCCCGUGCCAGGUGGACACGAGUCCCAGGGAGCAGGGCACCACCUGUGGUGGCUGGAGGAUCUUCCUAACCUGUUUGUCUGUUGGGUCCUUGCCUGUUGAAGUUCUGCCCAUGUCCUCGGUGCAGUUCUGCCUGGCAUUUGGAAUCCAAUGGUAAACAACAGUUGGCUUCAAUCCAUGAAGGCAAUUGGCUGAUGACUGAAUGCUUACUCUGGACUUGGGUUUGGGUUUGCAGGUCCCCUCCGCCAGUGGGGAAGCAAGUGAGUAAGUCAAAUGCUGAUCUUUCUUCAGCCUGACUCUGGGGUUAGCAGAGGCCACCCAGGCACGGUCUUCAGUCUGGAUGAGUGACAACUCCCCUGGCUCAGAAUCGGACUGAACUCACCUUCUGAGUGAUGGUGUGAUGGCUCCUGGGUGGGAAGUAGUCACUCAUUGUGUUUCGUUGAACUCUUGCUGGAAACCCAUGAACUACAGGGAGUCCACUUCCUGUUUUACAGCUGAAGAAAUGAAAUUUGAGAUGUAAAGUGAUUGGACUGAGCCCACUGUUGGAUAUUCUCGCUCAAAUCCCAGUUUGCUUUCCACCAAGCAGCUUCUUUUGGGUGCUUUUUCUUUUUGUUUUUUCUUCCCCUCCUCAAAUAUAUGGCAGAUAUUAGUGACUUCUAGGCUGGGAAAACGAUCUUGUUCCAACUCACAGCAUUGUCUUUCUUGAGCAUCCAAAAUGGCCCAGGUCUCAGGAGCCCGUGGGUAAAGAUUAAGGUGUAUUGACAUGAAUGCCCAAACUAUGCUACCGUUUCCCUCUGACCCAUGAAAUCCCAAGUCUAUAGCAUCUGGACUGGUCCCAUUUCCAUUUAGCAGAGUUCCUGAGUCUAGGAUGUGUCCAUGUGUUUCUUGCUACCUCACCCUUCUUUGUCUGCAGCCCAUGUGCACAGAAAGAAGGGGCCUCUCCCAUCUCUGCUGCUGUUGUCUUUUAUGAGAAUCUGCUCCUACUGGUUCAGCUGUUUUUCACCAAAGGCCCCUCAAACCUAUAAGAUGAUAAAGCUACACUGAGUUCCUCUGGCUCCAUCCCAGUAGUGUUUCAGAGCUGCUGCUACUGGUUGUGAGAGCCUAUUGCGUGCAUUUCUUCCCAAUGAUGUCAUGUUGGUAGCUUGAAAUUGACCAUGGCGGAAGUAUUUACACCAUGGAAAUUGGCAAACACCAUGUACCAAAGGUCCCUCUUCCUGGCCUGUAGUUAACAUUUACUCAUCACUGUCCCCUCUUUGCUGUAUUUUGUGUCUUGGACCUUGAAACAGCACUGGGGUGCCUAGAAUCCCAUGGCGUCUUCCAUCAGUUCUGUCCCUUCAGCUGCAGUACUGUUUCAGCCCCUCACCUUCUCUGUAGACUUGGCAACAUGACAACACUUCCAUCUUUCCUCUCUUUUCUCCCUCCAGCUCCACACCUGCAGUAAAAACCCUUGCAACAAUAGCUCUUUUUAUCUUCCUGUUGAAACACCCCUGCCCAAAUUAACACCCACGCACCUACCCACCAAGAAAAUAGUACAGUGGCUCUGGGGCAUAUAUAUCCACUUAAAUAGUGGAGGGGAGUUAACUUUCCCAAAUCCUAGGUUAGGCUUGGUCCUGACACCUAGUUAGAUGUAUACAUUUAAAAUCUUGAGGAGUUCCCAUCGUGGCGCAGCGGAAACGAAUCCAACUAGGAACCAUGAGGUUGUGGGUUUGAUCCCUGGUCUCGCUCAGUGGGUUAAGGAUCUGGCAUUGCCAUGAGCUGUGGUGUAGGUUGCAGGCAUGGCUCAAAUCUGGCACUGCUGUGGCUCUGGCAUAGGCUGGCAGCUGUAGCUCCAAUUAGAUCCCUAGCCUGGGAACCUCCAUAUGCCAUGGGUGUGGCCCUGAAAAGACAAAAGACAAAAAAAAAUUUGAUAUCUCAAAAAAUAAACAAGUAAANUGCACAAACAUCUAAGGCACUUUGAAAGAUGUAGAAAGGCACUGGGCCCUCAGUCUGGAAGUCUGGCCUGUGGCUCUUCUCUUUGCUCUCUGUGCGCUUUAAAGUGCUUUACUGAGGGGUAAACUUACUGACCCACGGAGUUCUUGGCUGUGUUAGAGUUGUUCAAACUGCCCAAGCAACCCCUGAACUCCAGUGGCUUAUCUCAGUAUGUUGAUUUCUCACUCAUGCAGCUGUCCACACAGUAGGGUGGAGAAAGAGAGUGAGGGCUGGGUCUGGAUGGUUUUGCUGGGCCAGCCUGGAGGGGGCACUCAUUAUUUUCUUUACCACUCCAUUGGCCGGAGCUUGGCCCCCUGGUCACACUGUACAGGAGGCCCAAGGGUAAGCGGUUCACGAACACCCACAUCUCUGCCACGUCAGGAAGUCCUUUCCUCUCUGCGUACCAGGUUCUGUGUCUGAAACAUGGAGGCCUUAAUCUUGGGAUCUGUGGGGCUCCAUGUGCUAAGAGUUCUUGAGUCUCGUUUCAUUCUUGCCAAAUGGAACAAGCUGAGUUUUCAAAGCAGAUUGGCUUGGCUUCUCAUUCUUGGCUUGGCUCCCCAAUGUCGUUCACUCUGCGGUAGAGGCAGCCCUUCGCCGAUGCGUCUGUUCAAAAUGCUAAUCAAAGUAUUAGUGCCCCAUCAUCAUCUCUCUCGAAACAAUGUCCAGACCCAUCGCUCUCCUUCUGAGCCUUCCGAGAGACCAAAUUUGAACUCAUUUCAUCAAGGCCAAAUGUCAAUCAUAAGAAGAAAUCUAUAUGAAAUUUUAAUUGCAAGAUGUUCGGUGCAAAUUUAAUGAGUGAAAUAAGAGAUCUGAGAAUUCCCGCAUUCUCGGUUCAUGCAUAAUGUUGACUUAAAUUGGCUCUCUGGAGGUGGAGGGAAUUGCAUUUUUAGAAUUUACACACCGAGAGAGCAAAUGGAGUGGACCCUGAAGGUUAAGGUCAUAAAUCAGAAUCAUUUAACUGGCUUUGAGUGAUUGCUGCAGACUAUCCUGGCAGGGGGAGCUGGCUGCAGCCACCAGCAAUGACUCUGCCUCCAAUUAUUGAGAUGCUCCUCAAUAUUCAUAAAUCAGUGGUCAUUAAUCCCCCAAAUAGUACCUGUCGGCUUUCUAAACAAAUUUCCAACCUGCUAAUGGAGAUUGAAGGAGGCUGAUGGGCACUAGCUCAGAAUUGAAACAAAUGAGGGCAUCACUCUGACAGACUCGCAAACAUGUUUUUUGGCACGUGACGUCCACUUUGGGGCAAAGAUGUCCCAGCAGAACAGGCUUUUUGCAAAAGAGGGUCUUUUCAAAGCCUUGUCUCCCAACCUUUGUAAUUUCUGGAGACGAUGGCCUUGAUGUGUUAUGUCUCAAUCUCUGAAAUUUUGCUCAGGACCAAAUCAAAUGAUUUAAAAGCUUCAAUUCAAUUGCUUGCUCAUCCCUGUUUACCCACAGUAAUUGGAAAAUAAGCGCACAGCGCAGCGAAAGGCCAUGGCAUUUAUUGGAUAACAUGGGAGCAAGCGUGGGGAGGAAAUUGUAAUUGGAGCGCCAGUCACUGGGGUAACAAAUUUGGGAAGAAAUCGAGAAAUGGAAAUGAGCCCGAACUCAUGGGGACGUGAUACAGAAAAGUGAUUUCAUUACCACAGACACUUCAGUCUAUGUUCAUUUUCUCUUUGCCUUGUUUCUGGGGUGGAUUCAUAAAUUAUAUAUAAUGGUGACCAGACUUCUGGGUAAGAGCACUGUGUUGACUCGAAUAAUAGACACCAUUCUGUAACUAUUGCAUUUUAAAUCUGGCAGAAAAUGAGAUUUGUGGGUGGGUGUGAGGGAGAAAUGCUGGAGAGGUUUGUCUCAUGCCUGGUUUCACCUUGAAAAAAAGGGAGCCAAAGAAGGGAGGCCAGAAAUAAAUGUUGUUUUCAUGUGCAAUAGCUCAAAAUAAUGGCACAGACUCUUUUAAUCCCAAAUUUAUCAGUCACAGAGGGAAAAGAAAAAAAAAA